GGGAAAUGAAUAUAUAAAGGAACAGAGUUCUUAAUAGUUCUAUAAGGCAACAAAAAAGGAGUUUGUAUUGUCUUUCUAUUUCAUAGAAAAGUCCAUGACUGUGGAUCUAAUAACCUCAUGAAAGUUGGGACACCAAAGUGGUGGAAUGCAUUGACAAUGAACGCAGCCCUCUGUCGACUGGUGAUGGAUUUUCUGUAGAUGGUAUCAGUAGGCGCAGCAGAAAUGAGAUGCAGUGUAUUCCUUCCCUGGAAGACAGCUGCGGCUUCUGACUUCUGUGCCUGGAAUUUUUGACUCUCUUUUGCUUGCUUUGGUAGUCUACUGAUGCUAUCAACUUCUCAAGAGCUUUUGUUUAGGUUUUUUUUCCCCCCUGGCUCUCCAUUUUCCCUCCCCCUCCCCAAGGCCCACUAUUUCCUUUCCUGCAUUGGAUGAAUGUAAAUGAGAUUUUCUGACUGCCAAGAGCAAACCUACAAAUAACCAUAAGCAAAGCAAAAGUUCAUUUAAAAUGUUAAACAAAAGCUCUGGUCUAACCCUAGCUCAGUCAUGCCCCCUGGGGUUGUCAGGUUAGUAGCAGCGUGCUAGUUUUCCUGUAUGUGGCAGUCACAGUGACAGCAGUCUGGUAUAGAAACAUCCAGGAAGGUUUAAAUCAGUUGAAAUGCUGGUAGCAGUCAAGUUAUGGCAACGCCAUACUCAGCACACGUUAAUUAGCCAUACCUUUUCAUGCAGGUUUGCUGAGCUCUUGCUGACAUAACUACUGUUGGAUCACAAAUGUUUUUUUUUAAUCUAGGUUGGAGUAUGUACUUCACAGCAGCCACCAUAUGACUGCAGUUUAGACAUAACUUCAAGUGCCAUCAGCAGGCUUGCGCUGAAAGGGUCUCACUGUUCUUCCGUCUCCCAGGGGAGAUCAAUGAAAAGGAGGCAAGGUCACAAAGUGGAAGCAUCUUGGCCUGUGACCAGGGAGGAUGUACACUGCAGUCCUCUUCAGGACUUCCACUGACUCAGCGGGCAGCUGGAAGAGUAAAAAGCCAGAGUCUCCAAGCAAAUAGUACUUUUCCAUGGAUGAUACCUUUGAUUUCAAUAUUUACAUCCUAG
rnacentral:lncRNA from 1 species